rnacentral:lncRNA from 10 species
AUGAGUGGGCCCUUCUGGUCGCUGUGGAGAUGGGCCAUGUGGAGAGCCAGCUGCGGGCCGUCCAGCGGCUGUGCUACUUCUACAGCGUCGUCAUGCCCAGCGAGACCCAGUGUGUCAUCUACCACGAGUUCCAGCUCUCCCUUGCCCGCAAGGUGGCCGACCAGGUGCUGGAGAGGGCAGCUCCUGGAGACCACCAGUCAGCUCUACCUGUCCCUGGGCACCGAGCGUGAUUCCAGGGCCUACAAAUCCUCUCUGGACUACACCAAACGAAGUCUGGGAAUUUUCAUUGACCUCCAGAAGAAAGAGAAGGAGGCACAUGCCUGGCUGCAAGCAGGGAAGAUCUAUUACAUCCUGCGACAGAGCGAGCUGGUGGACCUGUACAUCCAGGUGGCACAGAAUGUGGCCCUGUACACAGGCGACCCCAACCUGGGGCUGGAGCUGUUUGAGGCAGCUGGAGACAUCUUCUUCAAUGGGGCCUGGGAGCGGGAGGAAGGCCUGUCCUUCUACCGGGUGAGCUGGCCUGUGGGCUGAUGUGGGUGGGCCUCAGUGGGGCACCUGGAGGGCUGAGGCACAGGUGUGGCAGGGUAGAGGCCUCCCAAAUGGAGGCAGGGCCACCCAUGCACAUGAUUAAUUUCCAAGUGGUCUCACCGGGAAUGAUAUUGACCAUGCCCCUGCCUGGGACAAACGCUCGGGGCCUGGACGUGACAAUGGCUCUACCCUUGUACCUGAUGACCUCAAGCAACCAUGAGUGGGAAGUCCUGUCCCCAUCUUCCAGAUGAGGAAACUGAGGCUCAGAGAGGCACAGGGACAUGCCAAAGGACACACAGCAUAUCAGUGGGAGACCCAGGUCUGCAUGCACCCCGAAGUGGGACGGCUUCUCCUUUCCUCUGAGCUCACGGUGUGGAUCAGCCCUGGGCACAGAUCAAUGUGGUGUUUUUAGAGCAGAGAGGAGUGCUGGCUCCCCCCAGUCAGACCUCCGGUGCCCAGGUGGGAGAGGCUGGUCUGAGGCUAUCGGGUGUAGCUGGAUGGGCCUCAGGUGACUCUUCAGCCCCCAACUUGGAUGUCUGAACUGUGUGUUAUCCCAGAGCACAGAGCUGUGUCG